AACCAUCCGAAACUCACCCGAGGCCCUCAGGACCUUAACCAAAUAUACCAACAAGUCCUAAAACAUCAUACGAACUUAUUUGAAAUCUCAAAUCACAUAAAACGACGCUAAAAUCACGAAUUAUGCUCCAAUUCAAGCUUAAUGAAACUUAAAAUUUCCAACUUCUACAUUCAAUGUCGAAACCUAUCAAAUCAAGUCCGAUUGACCACGAAUUUUGCACAUAAGUCAUAAAUGACAUAACGGAGCUAUGAAAAUUUUCAGAACUGGAUUCCGGCUCUGAUUUCAAAAAGUUAACUCCUCGGUCAAACUUCCAAACUUAAAUUCCUAUUUUAGCCAUUUUAAGCCUAAUUUAACUACGGACUUCCAAAUAAAAUUUCGAACACGCUCCUAAGUCUAAAAUCACCAUACGGAGCUGUUGGAAUCGUCAAAAUUCUAUUCCGAGGACGUUUUCUCAAAAUGUUGACCGAAGUCAAACUUGAUCUUUUAAAGCCAACUUAAGGAACCAAGUGUUCCGAUUUCAACCCAAACACUUUCAAAUCCCGAACCAACCAUCCUUGCAAGUCAUAAAUCAUUAAAGGCACAUACGAAAAGUUUUAUUUUAGAGAACGGGGUUCUAAAAGUCAAAAUGACCGGUUGGAUCAUUACAUAAAUAGUACGAUUCGGCUGGUUAUUUUAUAAAAUUUGUAUCAUACCAAUUUUUUGGUUAUUCUAUUAUGUAUAACCAAAAUUAAAAACUGUCUCAAUCAUGUCGGUUUCUCUUCGGUAUCGGUACGGUUCAGUUAAUUUUCGAUAUUUUUUAAAAUAUCAUGUAAAAGUCAUUAGUAGAAGUAGAAUGCAAUAACAUACGUGAUUUAUAGGACUUUAGCAAAACACUCUAGAUAUUUUUACAGUUUAAAAGAUAAUGAAUUAAGAAAAUAUGAAAGAUGACCAGAGUAUAGAUCUAUCAACUAUUCUACAACAAUGUAAAAGAAACUAAGCAAAUACAAAAAAAAUAUAAAUCAUACGAAAGAAAAUAUAUUCAAUACAUUGUAAUUUGCUCAUCAUAGUCGCUACAAUACCUUGUGUCUUGCUAGUGAAUAUGCUGAAAAUUUAGUUUCAAUAUGAGUAGCAUAAUAGAUUUGGGAAUUAAGAUUUUGAGUUUCAUUACUUGUUGGCUUCUAACUGUUUUCAUAAUUUCAAAACCCAAGUAAAAAUUUAAUGCUCUAUUAUUUUUAAACUUAAUAUAUAAAUAUAUUUUUCAUAUGUAAAUUUAUUCGGUACAGUUCGAUAUUUUUUCGAUUUAUUUUUAUAAAAUAAAAACCUACUCUGAUUAUCAGUACGGCUGUAGAUUUACAUGAAAACCUACAAUUUUAUUAAAAGAAACAUAAAAAUCGGUUCGGUACGAUAUGGUUCGGUCAGUUAGUCAGUUUUUAAAUAUUCAUUGACACCCCAGGCAAAACGCAAGGACCACAUUUCAAAGGGAAUUCUAAGACGUAUAUAAGUAGCUAUAGUAACCGUUUUUUCCAGCCACUAAAAUAAUUUUAUUUUAAUGUAAUCACUAAAAGCAUCCAAAUGGGCACAUAUCACAUCAUUAGAUCACCUGAAUUCUCCAAAAAGGCCCCCACGAUGGUCUGUCGUAAUCUAAGCCCUUACUGAAAUGUACCAAAAUUAAAGUAACAAAGUAGUACUCAAUAAAGCAUAUCCAAUGAGUAAUUCCAAUUUUAUCCCUGAUUGGCAAGCAGGCAUGUUGACAUGCUGCCUGCUUAUUCCCUCUUAUAUAUAGUAUAUAAUAAAAUUAGUGGGGUGCUGCACGAGCCCAAUAGUUGUUUAAUGUUAAUGUUUUUCGCAAUUGUUUCUAAUAGUAACCUAAAUUGUCCAAGCAAAACACCAUGUUCCUUUGUGUGGUUCGAUAUUUAUGAGACCUUUUCAUUUGGUGAUACUUUCUUCAUUCUAUAUUAAUGUAUUAUCAAUUUUCAAUGUUGCAUAAUAAUUUGGUAGCACAGAGUUCAUAUGUCACGGUAUUCAUUCAAGAAAGAAAAUUACUAAUCACUGGGGCUUCUUCUUCUUUCUUCUAUUACUAAUCACUGGGUCUUCUUCUUCUUCUUCACGAAGUUUGUUUCCGCAACAGAAAAAUCUAAAUAAAUACCCCUUUAACAGCGGCUAACAGUGAUGUCAGAAAUUAAAAUGAUGCAGCGAGAAACAAGAAAAUAUAAAGGCACAAUCAACAGUCUAACUACGCGGAAGAAACAAAAAAGACUAAGUAAAAAGAAGAAUCAGAAUCACUGUUGAAAAUUGGGGACUAAAAAAGUACAUGGCAGCCCUUACUCAAAAUGAAACCAAUGGAUGAAACUUGAGACUAAAGACAAGAGCAUGCAUAAGAAAUCUUAUAGAAAAUCCGAUUGAAGAAUUUUCGCAAACACCUAGAGAACAAAAUUUAUUAACAUGUUACACUUUAUUUACAGGAAUCCCCUCACUACUCAGGGAAAAACACAAAGACCUAGCAUAUAAUCAAGGACUGAAAUAAAUCAAUACAAGAAGCACAGAUGGAGGGGAGGAGUGAGAGCAGAAAAAAUCCUACACUUAUAUAACAAAAACCAGAUGCAUUCACACCCUUAAAAUGGGAGAGAAAGUAAAAACUCUAUAGACGACUUCCGAAGAAAAUACAGUAGAGGAUAAAUGGCAGCAUAGGUAAACCAAAUAGGCACCAAUUGUGAGUAAUAACUGAAAAAGGCAUAGAGAAAUACAAGAAAAUAAUUUGAGUUUAUUUUCAGGAAAAUCAAGUAAGAUCGAAAAUGUAAUUUCUAUUGAUAUUUCUCUCAAUACCUUGGGUGGCAUUUGCAGGUGGAUCUCAGUAAGUCGGAGGAAUACGUUUAUUUGGUAGUUGAUGCUACUGUCAUGUUUGAAUCGGGCAGCAAACGAAAACUUUUAGAUCUGGCUUCAAUUAGUUUUGCUGUUGUCGUAAGCCUUUAUAGCUUGAGGAUUUUUUCUGGAGAACUUAAAUGACUAAGCUUUUAGGUCCUCUUGCUUACAGCUUUUGAAGACCCAGUAGAAAAUAACAAUGGAUGGAGGGGAGGAGUGAGAGUAGAGGUAUGAGAGAAGAGGUGUUCGCAGAUGGAGCUUUUCAGAACACGUUGAGCCUGGGAGGAAGAGAAAUCAGACGGUGACUUAACUGUUGUCAAAGUUGGCUCCACGUGUUGGGCUGUAGUACCAAAU
rnacentral:lncRNA from 1 species